rnacentral:misc_RNA from 1 species
AAUAAUUUUCAGGCGGUGCACGAGGUGGGUGUGACCGAGACAACGGCGCGGUGGUAAUGGCGAGGAGGAAAAUAAAUUCGUGGGGACAGUUGCGGCCCUAUGGCCGUUCACAGCCUUCGAAUGUGAGAUAAGUUACAGGCGCAGUGGUAGAAAGUCGGUUUAUACAGAUCACGUACGGCCUGGAAUGAACGGAUAAAGUUUUGGGAUUCACUUUCCAUUCUCAACGGCAGAAGUCUCUUAUUCUACAAGUUGAAAACAAGACAAUUACGAAGGCGAGAUCAUCUUUUUUUAUGAGCCAGCCAAGUUGGAUUGUGAGGAUGUAUUUUGCGACGUUCUUGUUUCACAAGCUUCUCGCCGCAGUUAAAAUACCGAGAACGUUCUGAGAAAAACGCGGGAAACUUAAGGUGUCUGUGUAGCAGAACAUUCAUUCGCCUUUGUCGUGUUUUCUUUCAUGUUCAAGAAAGAACUGUAGAAGACAUAAGUCGUCAAAGGAUUGUAUAGAACAGAAGUGUACUGAUGCACGACGUUA